AUGAACGCUGGCGGCGUGCCUAAUACCUGCCAGUCGAGCGAACAGACGAGGAGCUUGCUCCUCUGACGUUAGCGGCGGACGGGUGAGUAACACGUGGAUAACCUACCUAUAAGACUGGGAUAACUUCGGGAAACCGGAGCUAAUACCGGAUAAUAUAUUGAACCGCAUGGUUCAAUAGUGAAAGACGGUUUUGCUGUCACUUAUAGAUGGAUCCGCGCCGCAUUAGCUAGUUGGUAAGGUAACGGCUUACCAAGGCAACGAUGCGUAGCCGACCUGAGAGGGUGAUCGGCCACACUGGAAAUGAGACACGGUCCAGACUCCUACGGGAGGCAGCAGUAGGGAAUCUUCCGCAAUGGGCGAAAGCCUGACGGAGCAACGCCGCGUGAGUGAUGAAGGUCUUCGGAUCGUAAAACUCUGUUAUUAGGGAAGAACAAAUGUGUAAGUAACUAUGCACGUCUUGACGGUACCUAAUCAGAAAGCCACGGCUAACUACGUG
rnacentral:rRNA from 1 species